rnacentral:lncRNA from 1 species
AAAAAAAAUGUGUAUUAAAAUUAUGCAGAUGAUUAAAACAAUUUUAACAUGAACAAGUGCAAAGAAAAAAAUUAAGACAAGAACAAGACAAGUGUAUCAAGACGAGUGCUAAAGACUCCUCUCCAUAGUCUUCAUCUUUAGGCUCUAUUCGAAGAUUUUAAUGUACAAAAAACUAAGAAAUAAGAUGUAAGAAUGUCAUUUAUGUACAUUAUCUAAAUGUUGUAUAAAUGCAGCAUCAAUUGUAGUACCAUAUGUCGGGUUGUGGAAACUGCUUGGUCAUUAUUCAUUGAAAGAUUUAAAUCUUCACGUAAAAAGUUGGCGCUUUGCAUUGUUGACAAUGCCUAGGAACUGCUAACAAUGGCGGAUUUCCGGCUUUGACGGUAACACAGCUACUACACUAGACAGCCAAAAAAAAAAUACGUAUCUAUGUGAAAUUUCAAUCCGCGUUUUUUCAUAAAUGGCUAAAUAUCUACGGCUAGUUUUCAGCAGAAUGAAUUUUCUCAUGGAUUACUACAAGUGUGCAAAA